rnacentral:misc_RNA from 1 species
GCGCAUCUAUUUCCGGUACUCCAAGCUACAUGCAGGCGCGCGAGCCUUCUUUGGAUUGCGAAAAAGCGAUCUCACUCAACUCGAAGGUCAGAACGGUUUCAUUUGCCUUCUGGUCGACGAUGAUUCGCCGCCCGUCUUCAUUCCCUAUGCCGAUUUUGAAGAACUAUUGCGUUUUGCACAGCCGGCUUCUGACGGCCAAUACAAAGUACAGCUCUUCUCUGCGUCGAAUGCGCGCGAACUUUACAUCGCACGGCAGGGGCGAUUCAACGUAGAGGGGUAUGUGGGAUAUGAGCCGAUCUCGCGCAGCUUGAUCGCUCAAAAGCUCCGGCCG